rnacentral:rRNA from 1 species
UUGAACGCUGGCGGCAGGCCUAACACAUGCAAGUCGAGCGGAUGAAGGGAGCUUGCUCCUGGAUUCAGCGGCGGACGGGUGAGUAAUGCCUAGGAAUCUGCCUGGUAGUGGGGGAUAACGUCCGGAAACGGGCGCUAAUGCCGCAUACGUCCUGAGGGAGAAAGUGGGGGAUCUUCGGACCUCACGCUAUCAGAUGAGCCUAGGUCGGAUUAGCUAGUUGGUGGGGUAAAGGCCUACCAAGGCGACGAUCCGUAACUGGUCUGAGAGGAUGAUCAGUCACACUGGAACUGAGACACGGUCCAGACUCCUACGGGAGGCAGCAGUGGGGAAUAUUGGACAAUGGGCGAAAGCCUGAUCCAGCCAUGCCGCGUGUGUGAAGAAGGUCUUCGGAUUGUAAAGCACUUUAAGUUGGGAGGAAGGGCAGUAAGUUAAUACCUUGCUGUUUUGACGUUACCAACAGAAUAAGCACCGGCUAACUUCGCG